CACGACAGACGUGAGGGAUGUACUAAUCUAAUUUAAAGGCUAGAAAGAGACAGAUGUUUUCGUCGGACCGCUUAUCAUUCUUGGCCGUCAGUUGGCGACAUUACUGCGCAGAAUCUUGGGGUCGGUGGUAGGGAUUAGUUUCUCGCGAGACGUGCAGCGUGAUGGACGUAUAAGACGCUCGUGUCUAACGGAAAGGAUAGAAAGAGAGAUAUCAGGUCUCGUUAGGCGAGGUGCUUGGCCACGAAGUUAGGUUUCGCCGCUAGAUGGUGACACCAUGCAGAUUCUUGCGGUCAGCGGUCUAGCCGCUAGACUCUAGCGGUCGGUGGCGAUUAGUCUUGCGCGCGACAUGUGGCGUGAUGGAUGUGUGGAGAUGCGCGAGUUUAAUGGAAGCGCAGAUAUUUUAAUCGAAACGAUCUUGUAGAAAAUUCUAUUUUUUUUAUUCGCGUUUUCUGUUAAAGAUUUGACAAAGGAUGAGAAUUGGAAGAAUGGGGAACGAACUCUCUCUCCAACCUGGGAAAUGGCUGCGACGCUACGAGAAGGAAUUAACAAUAUAAUAGACGCAAUUACGCUAGAAAUGCUGUUUCAGAAUACGUCGCUAAAUUAGAUUAAAUUGUGAUGAGAUUUCAAAUACGCACCAUGGUGAUGACGGUCUUGAUGGCUUCCGCCGUGGCCUCUUCACUCGAGGGUGUCUCGACGAGGGUGCUGCCCAAAUAUUUGAGGGUGAACCUAGCCUCGGACGUGUCCUCGGAUUCCUCCCCGUGGGUUGUCCCAGCCGAACCACCCUCUACGCACUCGCGGCUGUUCGCCAACGCCCAUUCCUCGCAUAAUUCUGGAAAUCAACAUCGAGCAAAAUAUUGAGCUUAAUAGAAAAUAAAGAAAUUUGUGGGCAAAAAUUUGGAAACUGCUGCUCUCGUCACGGACACACGAAUCCGGCAGAGAUAAAUGUUACGGUGGAUGGAAAGGGGGAUGACCGAUGUAACAUUAGUCCAGGUUCGUGCAACCACAUAAGCCAACCUCGUUGUCUGUCCACUUCGUGACAGGAAUAGCCGCACGUGUGUUACAAUAAUGGAUGCUCCGGGUGUAUACAUCGUUCUCCAGUCCAAAACUUGUCGAAUAGUUGCAAUUCCGUCGAGAGAAAUUGCGAUGCAAAAAUGUUGAACUGACAUUUUAUAAAAUUUAACUCGAUAAUCAAGUAAAAAUGUUUUAAAAUGUACAGGGAAUUUUCAUAUACAUAUAUACAGAAAAUUAUUUGAUUUCGGAGCAAAGUUGAUAGGAAUCGAAUUUAUCACUCUCGAUAAAAAGUUAUAAUUAUCAAAAAUGAAACAAAGUACAAUUCCCAUAUCGACAAAACUUAUAAGAAUUAUAAAAUAAGAAACAAAGUACAACUUGUUCUAUUGCGCGAUAAAAGAAAAAAGUUUAAAGUU